rnacentral:lncRNA from 1 species
ACUAAUUGAUGUAUAUGUUUUAGAAAUUGAUGCUUUUUUUCAUCUUUUAUUGAAAAGAUGCUCAUCAUUACAAAGAGCAUGAUUCACAAGCUUAAAGGUAGUAGAUUAGACCUUACGUGUUGGUGCAUGGCAACAAAAAACAAAAAGAAAAAAAACAGGCCUGGCCCGUAAAAACAAUCCACAAGGCUUUUGGUGCACAAGUCUUCCCGGUGGCUCAAAGAAAUAAUUCACGCG